rnacentral:lncRNA from 1 species
AGGGUCACAAUGGGAGAGGAGUGGGUGUACCUGCUAGGGGCACUGAUGGGCACUUCUUGGGGUACAGGGCACAAACUAUCUUAGUUGAGAGCUAGGAAGCAGGUAGUACUUGCAGAGAUGCAGGAGGAGGCAGUUUUUGGCAGGGAGGUCACCUGUGACCAAGGCCAGCUGGACAGGGAGUCAAGAUCAGAUAGGCAAAGAGUGCAGCUAAGCCCAGAGGCUGAGGCUGGAGGAUCUGGGCGGAGGUGCGACGGAGAUGGGGGCAUCAGGAGCUUGUCAAGGUGCGGUAGAAUGAUGAUCGUUGUGGUGUCACAAGCAAGAAAGUUGGAAGUCACUGAACGUUCAACUGCUCUUCUGUUACAGCAUUGCAGCUCACCGUGA